CAGGUGCUGCAUGGCUGUCGUCAGCUCGUGUUGUGAAAUGUUGGGUUAAGUCCCGCAACGAGCGCAACCCUUAUCCUUUGUUGCCAGCGAUUAGGUCGGGAACUCAAAGGAGACUGCCAGUGAUAAACUGGAGGAAGGUGGGGAUGACGUCAAGUCAUCAUGGCCCUUACGACCAGGGCUACACACGUGCUACAAUGGCGCAUACAAAGAGAAGCGACCUCGCGAGAGCAAGCGGACCUCAUAAAGUGCGUCGUAGUCCGGAUUGGAGUCUGCAACUCGACUCCAUGAAGUCGGAAUCGCUAGUAAUCGUGGAUCAGAAUGCCACGGUGAAUACGUUCCCGGGCCUUGUACACACCGCCCGUCACACCAUGGGAGUGGGUUGCAAAAGAAGUAGGUAGCUUAACCUUCGGGAGGGCGCUUACCACUUUGUGAUUCAUGACUGGGGUGAAGUCGUAACAAGGUAACCGUAGGGGAACCUGCGGUUGGA
rnacentral:rRNA from 23 species